CGGGACGUAGCGCAGCUUGGUAGCGCAUUUGACUGGGGGUCAAAGGGUCGUGGGUUCGAAUCCCGCCGUCCCGA
rnacentral:tRNA from 2 species